GUGUAACAAUGCCCUUUGUCUCUGACCUAGGCAUCUCUUGUCUUCUUCCAGAACCCAUGACACUAUGGCAGGCCAACUUACUAGCUUUCAAGUAAGGUAACAUCUCAGACCACCACAGGUUUUGACAGGGGAAACCCUGAAGCACCACAGGAGUUGGAGGUUCCAUGUAUCUCUAAGUAGUUACAUACAAUGGGUCCAAAACAGAAGAAAGGGUUAGAACUCAAGAUUCCCGAGCCACAGAGCUGGUGACCGGAGGCGGACUCAGAGAGACCCUGGAUUCAGUGACAUACAGAGACAACAGGUACAGGAUCAGUUUGGGUUUUAAUUGACGGGCUCAGCACUAGAGGACAGACUUGACACACCCCCCCUCCAUGGGUGCGGUCCACCCACUGUUGCACAAUGUCCUUCAGUGUCUAAUUUACAGAUCCAGCUGUAUUUCCCCUUCCACCUGCAUCCCUGAAGUUCCUCCCACCUGAAAACUUCAUCUGACCCAAGAAAGCAAAGGGAAAAAACCUGAAGAGCCAGCUCAUGGUCUGGUUCACUGUUUAAUAGCCAGAAGCCAGAGCCUGUGUAUAGAAGUGGAUGCCCAGGAAGCACUUGUGAGCUGACUAAGAAGGUAAGACCACCACCCACUUCACUCAGGAAAGUGAGGCAGGACUCCAUGCAGCAUGAAUGAGUGCACAUGGAACAAGCUGGUUGUCAUUUAUAUUCAGCAAGGGACCUCCAUGGACAGGACAUGUGGGGAGCUGCUAUCAAACAUCAGAACUUCUGACACUGUGCACAGUCUAAUAUUCUGCCCCGUCUGUUGUGAUAUCUCACUACAGUAAUGAUUAUGAUGGUGAGCA